CAGGGAGACAACAAAAUGUAUAAUAUUAUUUUGUCACCUUAGGUCGAUCGGUAUCUCACGUUCUUUAUUUUUUAAGAAUUUCAUUUCCUAAGUUUUUUCUAGGUCACACCCAUUAUUUUCCUGGGCCAUUAGCUCAGGUGGUUAGAGCGCACCCCUGAUAAGGGUGUGGUCCCUGGUUCAAGUCCAGGAUGGCCCAUAUCUCUAUGUUGGGGGUAUAGCUCAGUUGGUAGAGCGCCUGCUUUGCAAGCAGGAUGUCAGCGGUUCGAGUCCGCUUACCUCCACUGAUUACCACCUCUUCCAUAAUCUGUAGAAAGGAAAUUUUUGAGCUGUGAUCAAUUUCUGAACGAAUCUAGCUUCCUAGUAAAAAUUAUUAAGAUGCUGGACUCAUUGAAUUAAUUUCAUUGUUUUCAGAGAACCUUGACAACAGCAUAGAUUAUUUUUAAAGACAAUAAGCAUCUUUAACGAUGCAGAUUUAUUAUUUGUGCGAAUGCAUUAAUAACAAUUCUAUUAAGCUGAUGCUUCAAUUUUUGAGGUUAUU
rnacentral:tRNA from 1 species